rnacentral:rRNA from 1 species
GACCUGGCUGGGUGGUCUUGCCGAAAGGUAAGUACUGUGCUGGUCGGGUCUUUCCUUCUGGGGAACCAGCGUGCUCUUAACUGGGUGCGCUGGGGAUCCAGGACUUUUACUUUGAAAAAAUUAGAGUGUUUAAAGCAGGCCUAUGCUUGAAUACAUUAGCAUGGAAUAAUAGAAUAGGAC